rnacentral:lncRNA from 1 species
GGGAAUAUUAAUGUUGCCCCUGAGUGUUCAGGAGGGGAGCCUGUGGACAGAGCUGCAGCCGAGGAAAAUUCAUCUGGCACCGAGAGCUGCAGGAACAGUUCUCCAGAGCCCGAGGAGCCUGGUGCAGUGUGAUCAGUUUCUCCAGGAGGGCUGCCCAGUGUGGCAGGAGGAGACAGAGGAAGGGUCUGUGACCAUCAGGCAGGUAGAAUUCCUCUAUCUCUAGUUAUAUUUAUAGAUGUGUAUAGUUAUAUUUAUGUAUGUAGUUGUAUGUAUAGAUUUAUAUAGUUACAUUUAUCUAUCUAGAGAUCUGUGUAGUUAAUUUAUUUUUAGUUUUAAGUGUAUAUACUUAUAUUUUUAGAUGUGUAGUUAUAGUUACAGAUGUCCACAGUUGCAUUUAUACAUGUGUAUAGUUACAUUUAUGUGUAUGUAGUUACAUUUAUAGAUAGGCAUAUUUAUAUUGAUAUAUGGGGUUUAGUUACGUAGACUGCUAUCUGUAUAGGUAUAGGCCUCUUUUUAACUUCUUCCCCUGCUCUGCUUCCCCCCUGACCUCUUGCUUUUCCCCCUGUGCCCCUGUGUCCCCUGUCCCUGUGCUGGUCCGAGCUGGGGCCGGGCCGGGCGCAGCAGCAGUUGCAGCCCGGGUGUCCCUGGAGCGGUGGGAGCUGCCGGUGGCCCCAGGCACUGUCCCUGGGGAGCUGCUGAAGGACGGGAAGGCCUCGAGGAGAGCGGAGGUGACGGGAGCCAGCAGGGAGGAGCUGCAGGCCAGCAGCACGAGCAGGGAUCGGGGAGCUGCUGCUGCCGCCUGGAGAGAGCCCGGCUGUGCCAUCUGCCGUCCCUGUCCAGGAGAGCCACUCUGCACGGGAAGAAGAGCUCGAGGGAGAGGCUUUGGAGAAGGGGCAGCUGGGAUCCAACCGCUUGGCAUUCUGCUUAGGGAUGUCUGGACUUGCAUAUAGACAGGGAUUAUUAUCGAUAUGUACAUAUGUAGCCAGCUAUUAGUACAUGGAUAGUUCUAUACAUAUGUUAUAAUAUUUAUGAAUGUACGAUGUAUACACAUGUACGAGUAGAUACCUGCAUACAUACAUACAGGUUUGCAGUUACAUAUUUGUAUCUGUAUCUAGUUAUUUAUGUAUAUUGUAAAUCUGUGUUUAGAUUUCCAAAUGUAUACAGUUGUGUAGAUAUCUAUUUGUAUUGAUGUAGUUUUCAGUAUAUGUUGUUUUAAAUAGGUAUAUUGGUAUUUGUAUUGGUAUAUAUGUCUGGGUUGAUAUUUUUAUAUGUAUAUUGAUCUCUUUCUAUAAAUAUUAUAUUUACAUGUAUAUCCACAUGUAUAGCUGUAUAUUUGUAUCAAUGUGGUUGUACAGAUAUUUAGAGUGGUAUUGCUGUUCGUCUAUUUAUAGAUUGGUUUGCUUUAUGUAUCUGUUUUAUGUGUCUGUUUCUUGAAUGUAAUAUAUAACAUUUAAUCUAUAUUCAUAUCUGUAUAAUAUGGUGGUUAUAUAUGUGUUCAGUUCUAUUUAAAUAUUUAUGGAGUUGUAUAGUGCUGUAAUUACAGGUUGGACUUGAUGAUCUUAGAAGUCUCUUCCAACCUCAUUGUUCUGGGAGUCUGUGUAAUUCUAUUUAUGGAGUUACGGGUAUUAGAGAGAGAUACUCAUAUUUUUUAUUUAUAUAUAGCUGUAAGCUUCUCAUAAUAUGCAAUAAAUUAUGUUGUUAAUGUUCCGUUGAUCUUUGU